CACUCCUACGGGAGGCAGCAGUGGGGAAUAUUGGACAAUGGGCGCAAGCCUGAUCCAGCCAUGCCGCGUGAGUGAUGAAGGCCCUAGGGUUGUAAAGCUCUUUCACCGGUGAAGAUAAUGACGGUAACCGGAGAAGAAGCCCCGGCUAACUUCGUGCCAGCAGCCGCGGUAAUACGAAGGGGGCUAGCGUUGUUCGGAUUUACUGGGCGUAAAGCGCACGUAGGCGGACUAUUAAGUCAGGGGUGAAAUCCCGGGGCUCAACCCCGGAACUGCCUUUGAUACUGGUAGUCUUGAGUUCGAGAGAGGUGAGUGGAAUUCCGAGUGUAGAGGUGAAAUUCGUAGAUAUUCGGAGGAACACCAGUGGCGAAGGCGGCUCACUGGCUCGAUACUGACGCUGAGGUGCGAAAGCGUGGGGAGCAAAUAGGAUUAGAAACCCGAGUAGUCCCAU
rnacentral:rRNA from 1 species